CAAGGGGGGGGGGCUACCAUGCAGUCGAGCGGCAGCGGGGGGAAGCUUGCUUCCCCGCCGGCGAGCGGCGGACGGGUGAGUAAUGUCUGGGAAACUGCCUGAUGGAGGGGGAUAACUACUGGAAACGGUAGCUAAUACCGCAUAACGUCGCAAGACCAAAGAGGGGGACCUUCGGGCCUCUUGCCAUCGGAUGUGCCCAGAUGGGAUUAGCUAGUAGGUGAGGUAAAGGCUCACCUAGGCGACGAUCCCUAGCUGGUCUGAGAGGAUGACCAGCCACACUGGAACUGAGACACGGUCCAGACUCCUACGGGAGGCAGCAGUGGGGAAUAUUGCACAAUGGGCGCAAGCCUGAUGCAGCCAUGCCGCGUGUGUGAAGAAGGCCUUCGGGUUGUAAAGCACUUUCAGCGGGGAGGAAGGGAGCAGACUUAAUACGUCUGUUCAUUGACGUUACCCGCAGAAGAAGCACCGGCUAACUCCGUGCCAGCAGCCGCGGUAAUACGGAGGGUGCAAGCGUUAAUCGGAAUGACUGGGCGUAAAGCGCACGCAGGCGGUCUGUUAAGUUGGAUGUGAAAUCCCCGGGCUUAACCUGGGAACUGCAUUCAAAACUGACAGGCUAGAGUCUCGUAGAGGGGGGUAGAAUUCCAGGUGUAGCGGUGAAAUGCGUAGAGAUCUGGAGGAAUACCGGUGGCGAAGGCGGCCCCCUGGACGAAGACUGACGCUCAGGUGCGAAAGCGUGGGGAGCAAACAGGAUUAGAUACCCUGGUAGUCCACGCUGUAAACGAUGUCGAUUUGGAGGUUGUGCCCUUGAGGCGUGGCUUCCGGAGCUAACGCGUUAAAUCGACCGCCUGGGGAGUACGGCCGCAAGGUUAAAACUCAAAUGAAUUGACGGGGGCCCGCACAAGCGGUGGAGCAUGUGGUUUAAUUCGAUGCAACGCGAAGAACCUUACCUACUCUUGACAUCCAGAGAAGCCUGCAGAGAUGCGGGUGUGCCUUCGGGAGCUCUGAGACAGGUGCUGCAUGGCUGUCGUCAGCUCGUGUUGUGAAAUGUUGGGUUAAGUCCCGCAACGAGCGCAACCCUUAUCCUUUGUUGCCAGCACUUCGGGUGGGAACUCAAGGGAGACUGCCGGUGAUAAACCGGAGGAAGGUGGGGAUGACGUCAAGUCAUCAUGGCCCUUACGAGUAGGGCUACACACGUGCUACAAUGGCGUAUACAAAGAGAAGCGACCUCGCGAGAGCAAGCGGACCUCAUAAAGUACGUCGUAGUCCGGAUUGGAGUCUGCAACUCGACUCCAUGAAGUCGGAAUCGCUAGUAAUCGUAGAUCAGAAUGCUACGGUGAAUACGUUCCCGGGCCUUGUACACACCGCCCGUCACACCAUGGGAGUGGGUUGCAAAAGAAGUAGGUAGCUUAACCUUCGGGAGGGCGCUUACCACUUGGAUGCAGUG
rnacentral:rRNA from 1 species